AUUGCGCGGCAGCGCUUUGAAUGAUCGGCGAGUCACAACAGAAACCAUUAAGUAGUCCCUCAAAUACCAGAUGAAAGGAGGCCAGGUGGAGAAUCCCUGUAAAGAUGCUGCCUGCAGUGAUAUUUGUAUGUUGGCCCCAACAACUCUUACACAUGUGCCUGCCGUGUGGACAAGGAACUUGGUAUCGAUUAGAAUUUGUGCAGAGCAAAUAUUAACUAUCAACAAGCAAACAACCAAACCCAUAGUGUUCCUGAAAAUGUAUGCCUGUUUUGAUUUCCGAACUCUUACACCUGUAAUCAGGAGAAGGUACUAAGAACUGCACUUGAACAAAUCUGCAGACCCAGGUUUCAAGAAUGUACUGGUUUGGAUAACCAUUCAACAAUAUUGUCUUACAAUAUUCCAGAAUAUGACAGUAAUGAAAGAUUAAUUAUCAGAUAUGCUUUUGACAUCUUUUAUAUGCAGUGACGAAUAACAUAACGGCAGCUAUUACAUUGAAUGAAUGUAAUUUUCCCACAUGCACAAGGAAUCUCCGAAGGUUAUAAGGAAAAAAA